rnacentral:rRNA from 1 species
GAACGCUCGUAGCAAUACGGGAGUGGCAGACGGGAGAGUAACACGUGGGAACGUGCCCUUCAGUUCGGAACAACCCCAGGGAAACUUGGGCUAAUACCGGAUACGUCCGUAAGGAGAAAGAUUUAUCGCUGAAGGAUCGGCCCGCGUCUGAUUAGCUAGUUGGUGGGGUAAUGGCCCACCAAGGCGACGAUCAGUAGCUGGUCUGAGAGGAAGACCAGCCUCACUGGGACUGAGACACGGCCCAGACUCCUACGGGAGGCAGCAGUGGGGAAUCUUGGACAAUGGGCGCAAGCCUGAUCCAGCCAUGCCGCGUGGGUGAUGAAGGCCCUAGGGUUGUAAAGCCCUUUCGGCGGGGAAGAUAAUGACGGUACCCGCAGAAGAAGCCCCGGCUAACUUCGUG